rnacentral:rRNA from 1 species
UCUAACCUGCCCACUGAAUUUUAAUUUGAAGGGCCGCGGUAUUUUGACUGUGCGAAGGUAGCAUAAUAAUUAGUCUUUUAAUUAAAGGCUUGUAUGAAUGGUUGAAUGAGGUGAAUACUGUUUUAUAUUAAUUUUGUUGAAUUUAGAUUUUAAGUAAAAAGACUUAAAUAUUAUUAAGGGACGAGAAGACCCUAUAGAGUUUAAUAAAUAAAAUAAUUAAUUAAGUUAUGUAAGAAAUUUUUAAUUAUUAAUAAUAUUUAUUUAAUUGGGGUGAUUUAAAGAUAUAUUUAACUCUUUUUAAUUAUAAAUAUUAUAAUUAGUUUUGUGAUCCAUAAAUAAUGAUUAAAAGAUUAAAUUACCUUAGGGAUAACAGCAUAAUUUCUUUUGAGAGUUCAUAUCGAAAGAGAAGAUUGUGACCUCGAUGUUGGAUUAAGAUAAAUUUUAGGUGUAGAUGUUUAAGUAAAUUAGGUCUGUUCGACCUUUAAAAUCUUACAU